rnacentral:rRNA from 1 species
CGUAGGCAGCGAGCGUUGUUCGGAGUUACUGGGCGUAAAGGGUGCGCAGGCGGUGGAGCAAGUCUGUUGUGAAAUCUCCCGGCUUAACCGGGAGGGUGCGGCGGAAACUGUUCUGCUGGAGUGAGGGAGAGGCAAGCGGAAUUCCUGGUGUAGCGGUGAAAUGCGUAGAUAUCAGGAGGAACACCCGUGGUGCAGACGGCUUGCUGGACCUCCACUGACGCUGAGGCACGAAAGCGUGGGGAGCAAACAGGAUUAGAUACCCUGGUAGUCCACGCCCUAAACGAUGCACACUUGGUGUGGGCAGUUCAGUCUGUCCGUGCCGAAGCUAACGCGAUAAGUGUGCCGCCUGGGGAGUACGGUCGCAAGGCUG